UCAAAUAAAUUAUUUUCAAGUCGCCUUCCCACCCACUGGUCCAGCCUAGUCUGGGAUGACUACAUCUUUUGAACAGGCUUGAUUUACAUCAUCUGCAUCUAAAAAUAGAGAAAGCAAGGAUGAGUACGACAAGUCAUACUCAGCAAGCAGAUACUUCACUAUUCAACAAGAGUAGAAUUUAAGGAUAUUGAUACAGUAACAACGGGUUGACUAUAUCUAAAGGAGCAUAAAUAACGUGACAAUUUGCUGGAGCCAAUUUAAUUGGAAAUAGGUAAAAGAACAACAUAACCGGAUAUAAUGAAAAUGGACCAAGAAAUUAUUGGCGUCACACAUGACCGCAAGCUUCCCAACCCGGGAGUCACAGGGGUGAAAUUUCACACUUUUACGCUCUUAAGAGAGGUACUCCGACGUCGACAGUCUCAACUAGAACCACACAGGCGCUAGUAGAGCAGAGCUCUUGUACCCACUAAGACUCGAACACCUGAACCUACUGAUGUCGAUCGCUCCCAUGGAUCCAUCAUCGACACGUUCCCGAACAAGGUCCGUCCUUAGUGGAGAACUCAGACAGUCCCAUACCUGAACUGUGACCGGUACAAUACGUUUGCCGUCGUGACACCAAUAUAGAUGGACAGAAUAUGACAUGGGGCUGGAUUAGCUAUAUAGGAUCACUGAAAUAUCAGCCAAGACAAUAAAACCAUGCCUUUACAUGAGUUCCUCUCGUAUCAGACUUUCCAUCAACAAAUGGAUCAUCAAGGACAACAUGUCCUUCAACAAAUGGAUUAUCAAAGACAACAUGUCCUCAAAUAAAACAGGAAUCAACAGAGGAUAAAUAAGAUUCAAGGUCUAGUAACAUAAUCAGAACGAUGAUCACAGGAGACAACAAUAAGAUAGGAUUCAAGAAGUUAGCAAAGUAACCACUUGCCUCGGAUAAUAUGAUUUGUCCUUUAGAAUAAUAUUCUGCCAGAAGAUGAAACUCCAAUACUCCAUCAUCUUUGUAUAGAAUCUGACGAACACACAUAUACUAAUAUUCUUCUGACGUAUGGCUCCGUUCUUCCCUCUAGCAGCAUCUACACGAUCUAUAUAUCUUCAAACAUGGACACAUGCAUACUUGUAUUCUUCAUCUCUCUUCUCUUCGCUCUCUCUCCGCUGGUAUGCUCUAUUUCUCUCAUGCUCUCACUCUUGGUGAUGAGGAUGUGCAAAACGAGUAGCAGCAGCUAUUUAUAGAUGGUGAGCCCAGAGUGAACUCAGCCGAGCUAUUCUUGAAGCACACGAUCAUCUGGACUCUACCUAUUACGUGGCAAGCAUGCAUUGGUGUACGUGGAGAACCUGGUAAAAGAUCAAGCCGCAAUGGCCUUUGACCCUUGCCCCUUGACCCUUCGAACUGCUGCCCCUUUUGCUUGUGCAAAAGCCAAACAAACCUGACCACUAUACAAAACCUCCACGUAGAAAUUUCUUGGUCCUAAAUAUCUAAGGGUGCUGCCAGCACAACCUAGCUUCAUCUAGUACCAGGCCACGUUGGCCCUCUCAUGCAUAGGAUUUUACUUAGCUUGUAAGCAUAGUACAUACGUGUGCAUUCUCAUCAUUACAUGCAUGCACAUCUUCUAGUAUUUGGCCAUCUUCUCAUUACUAGCUAGCCUGUACUACCCACUAAUUUGUAUUACUUUGCAUGCUAAUGCCUUAACGUGAGUGCAUGGAUGCUAGUCUAUGUGCAUAUAUACAUACUUACUUAGUGUGUAAUUAUAUCCAUCUAAUAUUUUAUGCAUGCAAAAAUUACAGUUCUAUUUUAAUCACUUGAAUCAAUAAUCUAGCAUAUCUUAUUUGCUCAAAUAUUUUAUGUUAAACAUAUAAUAGAAAUUUAAUUACUCAUCUUAAUUUAAAUUAAUAACCCUAAAAAAUCAGGGUUAUUACAUCCUUCCCACCUUAUAAGAAUUUCGUCCCCGAAAUUCAUUUCCACUAUUUUGUUAGUGGCCAAAUAUCCUCCGAUAAUAAUUGAGAUAGCUUAUUUGAUGUGUGCUGAAUAAUUAAUUAAUAAAAUGCAAACAUGAUUUGCAAUCUUUUCUCCUUUUCAUGGAUAUAUCUGCUAUAACAUAAGUUGGCAACACUAGUCAUUUUAUUUGGUAAGGUCAUUAUCAAAAAGGAUAGAUGGUGGUAUAGUAAUUGUCCCAUUAUUAGAUAAAUAUCACCAGUUGUCUUAAACAAGAAAAUCUACACAAAUAACAAGUCAUGAGUCAACAAAAUGUCUAUUUAUUUCCCAUGCAUCCUCAAAUUUCACCAAUAAUAUGUACGCUAUAUUUUUAUUUGCCUGGAUAUCUGCCAAAAAUAUUUGUGAGUAACAACACACAAACAAGUUGAGACAAGGUAUGAAAAUAAAAUCUUCAUACCUGUCACACAACACAAAUAUAUUCGACGAUCUACCCGUUUAUCCCAACGCAACCUAAAACCUAGAGCUUUGAUACCACUUUAACUGUCACGCCCCGAGACCGGGCCUAGGCGAGACAGCUGACGCGCGCCUAUAGACCAGGGGCCUAUAGUCACGCAAGGCGUGAUUAAGCAGGCAUAAACCAACAGUGGAUCACAAAAGCUCAUAUAUCUACUUUACAAGUCCUUUACAUUUACAAAAUGGCUCAAAUAAAUUAUUUUCAAGUCGCCUUCCCACCCACUGGUCCAGCCUAGUCUGGGAUGACUACAUCUUUUGAACAGGCUUGAGUUACAUCGUCUGUAUCUAAAAAUAGAGAAAGCAGGGAUGAGUACGACAAGUCAUACUCAGCAAGCAGAUACUUCACUAUUCAACAAGAGUAGAAUUUAAGGAUAUUGAUACAGUAACAGCGGGUUGACUAUAUCUAAAGGAGCAUAAAUAACGUGACAAUUUGCUGGAGACAAUUUAAUUGGAAAUAGGUAAAAGAACAACAUAACCGGAUAUAAUGAAAAUGGACCAAGAAAUUAUUGGCGUCACACAUGACCGCAAGCUUCCCAACCCGGGAGUCACAGGGGUGAAAUUUCACACUUUUACGCUCUUAAGAGGGGUACUCCAACGUCGACAGUCUCAACUAGAAC
rnacentral:lncRNA from 1 species